AUGAGACACUAGUUUAUAUAUAGAGAUUUUUAAUAGAAAGCUACUAGAAAAUGCUACUUCUAGAAUUUAUUAGAAACUACUAAAUUCUUCUAGAAUAACAAUACUCAGUUCUGCUCUGUUAAUCAAAUUUGUUGAAGAAGAGAAAAGCUAAAGGUUUGUUGGGAAACGCAUCUCUUGAAAUAAGACUUCGAACUAGUUGAUGCACACCGUUUCAUUAAAGUGCAGCAGCUCACUUCUUCUUUCAAUCUAACACACAGCGUUUUGUCCUUCAUUCUCCCAAAUGCUGCAUUUCAUUAAAUAACUUCAUCAGUAUCUUGUAUGCAGAUGGCUUACAUCUGCUUUUAAUUUCUCCAAUGACUCAUAGUUACCACCCUGUUUCUUCCGCUUAUUCAGCAAAGCAACCUUCCUUUGAUACUCAAAUUUCAUAAUUUCACCUGCCUGUCCAGCAGCAGUCAAACCACUUGUAACAUUCAUCAUAAACCAAGACAUAAGAAAAUUGCCACAUGUGCUUUGUAAUACGCAAAAGGAGGAAUAAAAGGAGUUCAGAUACAGCCAGAAUGGAAACUGUACAUGUAGUGAACAAUGAACUAAUGCAUUAAAGGUCCCUUUAGAUUGCCCAGGAAAUGAAAAUGGAAGGCAUGAAUUCCAUUCCACUAUAUGGCCAUACGAAGAAUCCAAAAUUGCAUUGCAUGAAUUCCAUUCCAUUAUAUGGCCAUACGAAGAAUCCAAAAUUGCAUUGCAUGAAUUCCAUUCCAUUAUAUGGCCAUACGAAGAAUCCAAAAUUGCAUUACUAAAUUUAUGCAUUUUUUUUUUCCUCAAAUCAAUUUCAGAGCAAAAUGAUGUAAAUUUUGUAUAUAAUUUUCAACAUUACCAAUAAACCACACUUGAUCUCAAAAAUAAACCAUUGAGGGAAUUCUUCGAAUGGGAUUAUCUAAUUUACAGCAAGCAUAUCGCACUCCAAGUGGACAAAGAAAAGGUCAAACACAAGUUUGCAAACUAACAAUUCAAACAUAUGAGAUACCAAGAAACCAAACAAAUAUGUCAUGAAUGUUGAUUCAAGGAAAGUGAAAAACAAAGAAACUAAUUCUUCUUCAGCUCCUAAAGCUUGUCCUGUGAAGAACAAUCAGUUGCAGGUGAACUCAAAAUUGUCUAUACUAAUAGGAGGGAACAGUCACCCAAAUAUGUUUACUGAUCCACGUCAACAAAUUCUUCUGCAUUCUUCCAUGAACCAAUCCAGAAAUAAUCCAGAAAUUUAUUAACUUCUUGAAAAAUUCUAUUUAUGUCGAAUUAACUUCCUGAAAUUUGGUAUUUCUCUAAAUGAAUAUUUGUUUAGAGAUAUAAAUUAUGUUAAACACUAGCAGAUCUCUCAAUUUCCAUUGUUGUAGUCACAAGAGGAAAAGCAAACUUCCAGUUGAGCAGAUAUUACAAUUAUAAAGUUCAUUACAUUGCCAAGCGGCAAGUUCUAGUAGUUAGUUAUACUGAAGAAAAAUAAAUUUGUGCACUAAACAUUUAAGGUUAGCCAUGCUGCAUAAGAGGCCAUUCCAAUUCAGUAAGCCACACAUAUGCAAAAACCUUUCAUAUGAGCUAAACAUGUGCAACCAAACACAAUUAUACAUACAUAUAUGGGGCAAUUCAUGAACUUCAACGAUCAAAACUCAAGAGUGGGUAAAAAGUAAAAACCUCUGUAAACAUUGUCAAUGUGAAAAUAAGGACGGGAAAUAGUGAUUAUCCAGGAAAGAUAAAAAAUAACAUGCAAACAAAGGAUGAAUGGAUGAAGCUGAAGCAACCAUGAAAACAUACUUUGACUUCAUCAUAAAGCUUCUUUUCCCAAGCUAGCAUCUUAUCCAAUACAGUAGCAUGAGUUUCAUGCUCAUCUGUGUCGACAUCAUCCUUACCAUCAUCAAAACUAGGCAUUCCUUUAAAUGACCGAUUCCAUGUAAUAACACGCAUCACUCUUUUAGAGUGAUCAAUAUGUCCUGCAAUACAGGUGUCAGGGUAAUUUAAAUGGGAAAUAUCUAUAGCCUGUGUAAGGUAUUACCAGCGUGAAAACAUAAUGAAUCGGUAGCUCUUUUUUCAGGUAAAUCAUCAAAAGAAAGGUUUUAAUACAAUUUUUUCCCCAUUUUCACCAACAAAAACAAUUCAACAGAUAAUGCAUAAUAAAAUACUAAUCACAACUAAAAUUUGUGAACAAAUCGUGGCAUAUUAGUAAAGAAACAACGAACCAAUUACCUCGAUUAUCAGCAAAAUUAGAGUGAUAAUGCAACCGUGUGGCCUCCAACAUCUUGGAAACCUCAUGGGCACUCUCAGAAGCCUUCAAGAAAUGAUCAUCAAGCUCAGCAAAUAUGACCAUCAAAUUCAUCGGUUUUCCCACCCUCCUCCCCAUUUCUCCACCGCCCUUUUUCACUACCUUCUUCUCCACUGCCGGUACUGGCACUGGCACUGGCACCUCGACCGCCUUCUCCACCUUUUCCUCAACCACCAACACCGGAUUCUCCUCCUGCUCUUCUUGUGGCACUUUAUUGGCCUUUUCCUCAAACUCCCUCCGCCCCAAUUCGUCCACCUCCAACGGUUCUGCCAAAGUAGGCCCCGGCAUACUCUCCACCGGCGCAAAAAAGUAAUCACUCCAAGACGAUCCCUGAUGCACCGUCGGGCCCCGAAUCACCUCCUCUUUCCACUGCUGCGAUGGCUGUGGCUGUUCUGCGCCCUGCUCCAUGUGAUGUUGACGUUGAUGAUUCUCUUGCACAGCUCCUCUGUUACUGCCACUGCCUCUUUUACUACUACUACUUCGCUUCCUUAUCAAUUUCUCAUUAUCAGGAGUAUCAAAUUCCAUCUCCUCGUCUUCCAUUAUCGUGGGCCCCACCGAUUUCGAUUCAGGCUUCUGGAUCAUCAUCUCCGGCAUGCUCGCGGCGCGCUGAAGCGGAAGCGGAGGAGGAGCUGCCGACGUCUGAAAGUUAGGGAGUGGCGGAGGUGGAGGAGGGAGCGUGUCGACAGAGGAAGAAGAAGGGGCGACUGGAGCGGCGGCGUGAGCAGGCAUAGAGGAGGAGCGGUGUGCGACCUCUCCAUGGGUGUAGUCACUGAGGGCGGCACCGGUGUUCUUUAAAGUUAUAGCGCAGGCGAAGUGAGCGGAGGCGAAGGCGUUGCGGGCGGCGACGGCAUCUUUCAUGAAUUUUUUGCGGUCUUUGCAGCGAGAAACGGCUUCUUCGUUCUCGAUCUUGGACUGGGUACAGCCCAUCUCUCAACUCAAUGUUCAGUAGAUUCUCAGUUUUGGAUCUUGCGAAGAGAUUGCUGAACCAAGUUUUUGCUCGUAUCGUAGUGGUAGAAAAAGCAGAGUGGUGGAUUUUAGGUACAGGGGGAUCCUGGCGGUGGUGAAGUCGUUUUACUGAUAGUUGUUAAAAAGUGUUUUAGGGAUCGAUGAAAUUUGUCGGAUUUCGACGAUUAUCGGGCCUGGAUUCCGAGGUAACCAACACUGUCAAACAGAUCUAUG
rnacentral:misc_RNA from 1 species